CACGGUAAACGAUGGAUGCCCGCUGUUUGCGAUAUACAGUAAGCGGCCAAGCGAAAGCGUUAAGCAUCCCACCUGGGGAGUACGCCGGCAACGGUGAAACUCAAAGGAAUUGACGGGGGCCCGCACAAGCGGAGGAACAUGUGGUUUAAUUCGAUGAUACGCGAGGAACCUUACCCGGGCUUGAACUGCAGCAGACGGAUACAGAGAUGUUGACUCCCUUCGGGGCUGCUGUGGAGGUGCUGCAUGGUUGUCGUCAGCUCGUGCCGUGAGGUGUCGGCUUAAGUGCCAUAACGAGCGCAACCCCUGCUGUCAGUUGCCAUCAGGUUAUGCUGGGCACUCCGGCAGGACUGCCACCGUAAGGUGUGAGGAAGGUGGGGAUGACGUCAAAUCAGCACGGCCCUUACGUCCGGGGCUACACACGUGUUACAAUGGGUGAUACAGAGAGCAGGUGCAUGGCAAUAUGCAUCGAAUCAUGAAAGUCAUCCUCAGUUCGGAUUGGGGUCUGCAACCCGACC
rnacentral:rRNA from 1 species